CACCAACCAACUUUCAAAGUAUUUUCCAACCCCAUAUCUCCAUCUGUAGUUAAGGAUAAACUCCUUUCUCUUUGCUAAACACAAAAUACCUUGAGUAUGAAAGCUCAUUUUCCUUUCAGAAGAAAAGAGUAGGCUUUGGUGGAGUUGAGAAAUGGUAAGGUGGUGCAGUAGGUGCAGGUUGCAGCAGUCAAUGAGGGCACUCAACCUCUUUGUUAACAUUCUUGGAGUUGUCAUGAUUCUUUACUCCCUUUGCCUUCACAAGACUUGGACUGAUGGUGGCUUCACAACACAUAUUUGUUCAUCUACACAUGUUUAGGGAUUGGAAUUGUUGUCUGCUUGAGCUGUCUCUCUGCUCAUAUGGUCGCUAACUAACAUUAACCAUUACAUCCACGAUAGCCACAAAAAGUUCAAGAAAUUUGUACUCUUCCACCUAGUCAUAUGUAAACUGGUUACACUUUUAGUAUUUUUGAUCCAGAUAAAGGGUGUUUUGCUUGCUAUGAUUAUUUGGGCCAUGGGAGUUGCAACUGUUCCUCUAAUUCUGAGAUGCUACCAAAUGGUACAUAUUCAUUCUUGGUUGAUCAAAAUGCAGAUGAACUACAUGAUCCUAGGGCUGUUGAAAUUAAUCUUGAAGUUGAGUAACCAUGCAAUCUGUUGUAUCUUUAAAUUCAUUAUUUUAAUAUUCUUUUUGGUGAUUAGAGAGGAACAAAAUUAGCAAUUUUAUCUUAUUUACACCAUCAUAUUUUGUUCAUAUGUCUCAGAGAUUUUUUUGAGUUUAUCUCCUG